rnacentral:rRNA from 1 species
GGCAGACGGGUGAGUAACGCGUGGGAAGCUACCUUGUGGUAGGGAACAACAGUUGGAAACGACUGCUAAUACCCUAUGAGCCCUAUGGGGGAAAGAUUUAUCGCCAUGAGAUGUGCCCGCGUUAGAUUAGCUAGUUGGUAAGGUAAUGGCUUACCAAGGCGACGAUCUAUAGCUGGUCUGAGAGGAUGAUCAGCCACACUGGGACUGAGACACGGCCCAGACUCCUACGGGAGGCAGCAGUGGGGAAUAUUGGACAAUGGGGGCAACCCUGAUCCAGCCAUGCCGCGUGAGUGAUGACGGCCUUAGGGUUGUAAAGCUCUUUCAGCAGUGAAGAUAAUGACAUUAACUGCAGAAGAAGCCCCGGCUAACUUCGUGCCAGCAGCCGCGGUAAUACGAAGGGGGCUAGCGUUGUUCGGAAUCACUGGGCGUAAAGCGUACGUAGGCGGACUGAUCAGUCAGGGGUGAAAUCCCGGGGCUCAACCCCGGAACUGCCUUUGAUACUGUCAGUCUUGAGAUCGAGAGAGGUGAGUGGAACUCCGAGUGUAGAGGUGAAAUUCGUAGAUAUUCGGAAGAACACCAGUGGCGAA